rnacentral:tRNA from 1 species
AAAGGGAUAGCUAAAAGUUGAAGUAUUUUAUUUACGAUAAAAUGAUAUCCGUUAAAUUCGGGUUCUCUUUA